ACUCCUACGGGAGGCAGCAGUAGGGAAUUUUCCGCAAUGGACGAAAGUCUGACGGAGCAAUGCCGCGUGAGUGAUGAAGGUUUUCGAAUCGUAAAGCUCUGUUGUAAGGGAAGAAUAGCAGUAGUAGGAAAUGACUACUGUGUGACGGUACCUUACCAGAAAGCCACGGCUAACUCCGUGCCAGCAGCCGCGGUAAUACGGAGGGUGCGAGCGUUAAUCGGAAUUACUGGGCGUAAAGCGCAUGCAGGCGGCCUGUUAAGUCAGAUGUGAAAGCCCGGGGCUUAACCUCGGAAUUGCAUUUGAAACUGGCAGGCUAGAGUCUUGUAGAGGGGGGUAGAAUUUCAGGUGUAGCGGUGAAAUGCGUAGAGAUCUGAAGGAAUACCAGUGGCGAAGGCGGCCCCCUGGACAAAGACUGACGCUCAGAUGCGAAAGCGUGGGGAGCAAACAGGAUUAGAUACCCUGGUAGCGACUGAU
rnacentral:rRNA from 1 species